GAUGAACGCUGGCGGCGUGCUUAACACAUGCAAGUCGAACGGAAAGGCCCUGCUCUUGUUGGGUGCUCGAGUGGCGAACGGGUGAGUAACACGUGAGUAUCCUGCCCUUGUCUUUCUGAUAACUCCACGAAACUGGGGCUAAUACCGGGUAGGAGCUCCUGCUGCAUGGUGGUGGUUGGAAAGUUUCGGCGUUUGUGGCUGGACUCGCGGCUUACGAGCUGGUUGGUGUGGUAGUGGCUGACGAAGCCUUCGACGGGUAGCCGGCCUGGGAGGGUUACCGGCGACAAUGGGACUGAGAGACGGCGCAGACGCGUAUGGGAGGCAGCAGGGGGGAAUAUUGCACAAUGAGCGGAAGCGUGAUGCGGAAGCGCCGGGUGCGGAAAGACGGCUUUCGGGGUGUGAACAGCUUUCGCCUGAGACGAAGCGUGAGUGACGGUAAUGGGUAAAGAAGCACCGGCUAACUACGUG
rnacentral:rRNA from 1 species